rnacentral:lncRNA from 1 species
AACCCGCCCCCUCUUCCGAUGCGGGCUGCAUGGCUGGCAGUCAUGGCUUCCUCGCUGUGGUUCCAGCAAGGCCAGCAACUUCGGCUCUUGGGCCGAGGGAAGGCUGUGGAGGCUUUCUUUGGCAUCUGCAGAGACGGUGAGCAGCAGACCUGCUUAGAAGUAACGAAUGGAAGUCUGAAAUAGAAUAAAGAUGUAGGCUGUGGGCUUUGAAAAAGUCACAAGAAAGCCGUCAUCCAGGGAUGUAAGGAUCCUUGUGAUGAGAUAAAUGGUACAGCUUCAGUUUGAGGCCGAAAAGGAUACUCCAGAAAAAGACACUGGCUGCAGUGCUGUGGUGGCUGCCCUGGACCCGACGUGGAAUUUCUCUCGUGUCCACAGCGUGUGUAACAGGACCGACCUGCUUUACCUAAAGCAAGUGAAACCGUUCCUCUCGCGUUGUUUGUAACUUCUGCCGCAGGUGAACCAUGGCCCUUGGCAGUGAGAGCACCGAGUCCUAACCAUUGGACCACCAGGGGAUUCCCUGAACCUGUAUGUUUGACUUCAGAGGGCGUCUGAAUAUAAAUGCCCCCAGCACUUGGUGGGUGCUCUUUACUGGGCCCUUGCACCGUCUCCUGGAAAGAGGCAUUUGGGACCCACUAGCCUGCCUUACACACAAACACACAGGAAAAUGAUCGAUGGCUUAGAAUGAGUUCCUUCAGGAUUGCCUCUUGUAAAUUAAGGUAUAACUAAGAACAUGUGCAAUACCACACACAGAAUUUAGAUGAUCUUGGUGCAGUGGGGGGACUGCAGUGAUUGUAAAAUGAAACUUGCAUGUACACGCUCUGUUGAAGACUAAGGGGAAACAGGUGUUGAGCCUAAAAAAACAUUUCUCAGUGGGUUUCUACAGUGUCUUGGGCUUAACUUUAAAGCAAAUUAAAACAUUUAAAAGU